CACGGGGGUUGCGAGCGUUGUCCGGAAUUACUAGGCGUAAAGGGCAGGCAGGCGGAUCCAUAAGUUUAUCGUUUAAGGCGUCGGCUUAACCGGCGUAGGGCGGUAGAUACUGUGGAUCUGGAAUGCGGUUGGGGAAGACAGAAUUCCUGGUGUAGCGGUGGAAUGCGCAGAGAUCAGGAGGAAUACCGAAGGCGAAGGCAGUCUUCCAAGCCGUUAUUGACUCUCAACUGCGAAGGUGUGGGUAUCAAACAGGAUUAGAUACCCGCGUAGUCCCUGA
rnacentral:rRNA from 1 species